GGGUUGUGAGGUUAAGCGACUAAGCGUACACGGUGGAUGCCCUGGCAGUCAGAGGCGAUGAAGGACGUGCUAAUCUGCGAAAAGCGCCGGUAAGGUGA
rnacentral:rRNA from 1 species